UCGAGAAUAGUCUACAAUGGUCGGAAGACUGAUAGUGCGACGCCGCGUGAACGAUGAAUCCCUUCGGGGUGUAAAGUUCUUUUAUAUGUGAGCAGUGCUUCUUAUAUUAACAGUAUGGGGAGAGAGAUAUUAGCAUAUGAAUAAGCAACGGCUAACUCCGUGCCAGCAGCCGCGGUAACACGGGGGUUGCGAGCGUUGUCCGGAAUUACUAGGCGUAAAGGGCAGGCAGGCGGAUCCAUAAGUUUAUCGUUUAAGGCGUCGGCUUAACCGGCGUAGGGCGGUAGAUACUGUGGAUCUGGAAUGCGGUUGGGGAAGACAGAAUUCCUGGUGUAGCGGUGGAAUGCGCAGAGAUCAGGAGGAAUACCGAAGGCGAAGGCAGUCUUCCAAGCCGUUAUUGACGCUCAACUGCGAAGGUGUGGGUAUCAAACAG
rnacentral:rRNA from 1 species